UGACCAUCAUAGGUCCACGAUCAGUAACAAAGAGACAAUGAAAAUAUGGAUAGAAAUAAGUAUUUAGUCUGUAAAUGGUAGGUGACAAAUCUAGCCACAAAAUUGUGCAAGCAACCCACUAGUUUUAUUGAAUAUUAAAAUAACACCGGUGAUUUAUAAAACAUAAAAAAUAUGAUCUCAUCCACACAUCAUUAUUUUGAGAACCAUAAGGUUGAUAUUUAUCCACCCAAAAUAGGGGAGAUAACAGAACUAUUGUGUUGUUGCUGCUGCUGGUGUGCAAUUAAUCUUGCAGGGACAGUUGAUGAAGCAUUCUCCAAGAUUUGGCCAGCACAAGUUAUCUAUUUUACAGCAGAAUUCCCAUCCAGGGAGCUGGUGCCCAUCUUUAUAACAAGGGGGUCUCGUUACAUGGCUUACUUUGCUCAUCAUAUUGCUCCCCUUGUCGUUUAUGAUUCCACCUAAUUAACACAAAAUAAAGAAUAGACUUAUCAUCUCAUCAUAUAAACAAUAAAAUUCCACAAUCUAUAUCCUCCCAAAAAUUGAGUUGUUAAUUACCAUAUGUGCCUCCAAGACAAGUCAAACACACCACAAGAAGAGAAAAAAGUAGCACAACUCCUUGCACAUUGUUCCUCAUGUACUUGGUCAUCAUCACCGAGGAACAGAGGCCAUUAAUGGUUCGUACUCUUGUAAGUGGGGUUGAUGAGUGUUAUGACCGUGAAGUGCUUGUUCGAUGAAUGGUUCAUAUAUAUAGGAAAAGCUUCUUCGUGUUGAUGCAUGAAGUUACUGAAAAUAUUAAUGCUUGGAGUUAUGACUAGUCUGAAUGUCCAAUUUUAGUUUCACUUCUAAAGAUGCAUGGUUCCUUCCUUUUUAAAAAAAAAAUUGAUGCUUUGUCAUAUGGCGUAAGUUACUUUAGUGCCCUUCUAGAAUUGACCGCUUGUUUUUAGGGGUAUAAUUGACAGCUUAUAAUGGGUAUCUAAAAACUGGUGCAUGGCAAUAUUAUGCUUAAGGCAUUGAUAAUAAUUGGUAUAAUAUCAAUAAUUCCUAUAUAUAUGAUGCCUUAUCUGUAUAAUUAUUAAUUUCUCCCUUGGUAUAAGAGAACAAAAGUUAAAAUCCACUAAGAAUGGUCUGCUUAACAUUGGACUUGUUUUUUUAUGUGAGCAACUGUUCUCAAGUAUAUCAACAAUUUCCAAAUACAUUUUUUAUUUUUUUAUCGCAUGAACACACAUUAAUUAUGGGAUGGCCAUUUUAUAAAUAUAAGAUGAUGAUUUAUUGUCAUAUACAUGAAUAGUUUAUAUCGAGGUACUUGAGCAUUUUUUAUUUUUUUAUACAUAGUUUUCUCUCUCCAAUAUUAAGUUGGUUUUGAUUUUUAAAAUAGAUUAGUUUCCCCGAAAUUUUCUUUUUUUAGAAUAGUGAAAAUGCCGCGCCGGCCCAGCUAGGGUAAAUUUCAUUAGGCGGAGCUUCCCGAUUCUUGGGACUCCCUAUACGCUGCUCCUUGCGGCUGAGUGCUGACAACCUCCCCUUCGCACAAUGCGUGCCCGACUGGGCCGGCACAUCGACACCACGAGUGGACACCAGGGAGCGGGAGAGUAGGCGCUGGCCUGAUCCACUUUGGCGACCGUUUUUAAAUUUUGAAACAUUUUUUUGAAAAUGAAUAAGCAUUGAAAAAUGCAAUGAUAUUUUGAAUUUUUUUUCUAAAUUUUGUUUUUUUCUAAAAGCCAUUUUUUGGAAUUUAAUACAUUUGUCGAAAAUUCUGAACAUUAUUUGCAAACUAUGACCUUUUCCUAGAAAACCAACAAUUUACGAAAAAUGCGAUAGUUUAUAAUUUGUAGAACGUUUAAAAAAAUCUGAUUUCUUUGAUAACACAAACACCUUUUGAAAUUCCGAACAAAAUAUGAGAAUGGGAAUAUUUUGUGAAAACUUGAACAUUUCUUAAAUUUAAAUUUGAAGUGAAAUUUCCAAAAAUAUAUUAAAAAGGAGACUUUUUGAAAAAGUAAAUAAGAAAAUAAAACAAGAAAAGAAACAAAGAUAAAAAUAAAAAGAACCCAAAGAAAACCAGUAAAAGAAACAUAAGGAAAAAGAACAAACGAAAACACUAGUAAAAAUCGGAUCAAAACCUUCUGGAAGGUUCCCAAAGUCGACAAAAGCCCGAAGGAACAUUGUGGAACGUUCAUACAACCAGAGUGGCGCGGCUAAAAUGGGUCGGCUCUUCCUAAGCGCUAGCGUUAGUUCUCUAUACAAGGCCCGGCAUUUUACGUCGAAUGCUAAAAUAGGGUUUACGCCAUUCUCCAAAAAAUGUGCACCUUUUUGAAUAUUUUGAACAAUUUUUAAAAUUGAACAUUUUUGUAAAAAUACGAACAAGAAUUUUGUACAUUCUUUCAAAAAACAAACACUUUUUUAAAUUCUAAUCAUUUUUUGAAAAUUAUAACAAUGUUUUGAUAAACCGACAAUUUAUGAAAUGUGCAAAUAGUUUUUAAAUGUGCAAAUAGCCUCUCCAAAGUAUGAUGGCUCCUUCUCCAUGUGAUCUGUACCGAUGGACUUGGUUUGCAAAGGAAAUUCUUCUUCGUCUUCAGCACAUAGUGAAAGAUAAAAGUCUACUCUCGAGUCCAGAAGGGACGCUUCACCAAAGACGAGUCUCUGACCGAACUCUGAGAACUCCUUGGAGUUCAUAUCAGCAACAGACUUGGCCUUCUCCUUUUCCUUUCUAGUAACUGACUGCGUGCUUGUUGAUGGAGAGCCUCCCGGUAAUGGCUUCCCCUCCAACAAAACUUUGGAACAGGGCUUAGCUGGGAUCUCUUUGGAACAAAGGCUUGCAGCGGUGACAAAAUUCUUCUAGAGGUACGACAGAUGGUUUCUAAUGAAGAAGCUCCAUUUAUUGGGCUGGACCACUUAUGACAGUGAUGAAGCGGCACGUAGACGCGCCCUAGACAGCGCACCCUUUUCCCUUGGGUAGACUUUCUAUGUGGCGGGACCGUUUAAGCUCUCGAGCGAAAACUCCCUCUCGGUUUUGAGAAGCUUCUAGAAGUUAUAGGCAUGCUUUUUUCUGCCAUUUAUUACUCGGUGUGUGUUUUCUCACUCGGUUUUAAUUUUAUUUUUCCAAAAAUAAUGAACAUUUUCAAAUUUAUUAUUUAAAAAUUAUAAUUUUCAAAAUUCAUGAACAUCUUACAAAAUUUUGUUUUUAAAAAUAUCGUGAACUUUACCCACAUUUUAUUUACUUUUUUAAAAUUCAUAAGCUAUCCUAAAUUCUUCAAAUUUUUAGAAAUUCAUAAGUUUUUAAAGUUCUUGAACAUUUAGAAAGUUCAUGAACAUCUUUAAAAUUCUAGGAUUUUUUUCAUUUCAUUGAUCUUUUAAAAUUUGUCAGGAACCUGAUAGUUGAUUUUUAAAAUGAGGUGUUGUUGUUUUUAUAGAAGAACCAGAAAAAAAAGGUGAGCAUACAGUAGCCAGACGAGAAACCGAGCGUGUGUAAAGCGCUAAACUACGCUGCCCCAACAGAAUGUGCUUGUGAGCGUUGAUGCACCAACCAGCGCCAUAAGCAUGGUAGAGGAGAGCUCCUGCAAUUUGUUGCACCAAAUAGGUGGGAAUACACACAUAGGGACAGGUGCUGGUCGGCCCAUUCAUGUCAUACUGUACAAACCCGGUAGCGAGCAAUACUUUUUUCGGUGUUGUACACUUUCAAACGGUUUUUUCAUUUAAAUUGGGGGUUUUCGUUGUCGUAUUUUGAAAAACAUUAGAAAAGCUUAUUUAUUAAAAGUUAAGCACUGAAUUUUGCAAUAAUUUUGAAAAUCUGAACAUUUUUUAAACAUGAAUGUUUUUCAUAAUUCUGACCAUUUUUCAAUUUUCAAACUUUUUUUCAAAAUACGAAUAUAUUUUAACAACACAAAAAAAUUAUGAAAAGCAUUAACAGAAACAAUUUAAAAUUACUCAAAUAUUUAACAAACGUGAAUUGUUUUGAACAUUUUGUGAAAACUCCUGAAAAGGAAAAAAGAAAACAAACAAGUAAAGCCAGCAAAAAGACUAAAGGAUAUGAAUCCUUAAUGCCUCAUAAUAAUGCACGACUAUUUUUUAUGCAUUAUUCAUCAAAUCAAAAAUGCCUUUCAUGCAUGUGUGCCCCUGUAUUGUGGCCUAGGGAUCCCUCAUCAUGCAGGAAGCUGGCCUGGUAGGCCGGCCAGGGCUUCCUAUGGUCGGCUUCUCCAGGGCCAUCACCCCGGCCCAUGGAUCCAUUUAGAGAAAGGCCUAGAGUAUUUGGAGCGGGUGACAGGGCGACCGGCGUCCAGGAGGACUCCUCCAACAAUCAACUACGAUAGUUUAAUCCUAGACCCCGAUCCCUAUAUAUGUUGCGACUAGAUUAGUAAAUAGACGCAGAACCUUAAAGCCAUUGCUCAAUCCAUCAAUCAUUGUAACGCCUAUACAUAAGCAACAUACAUGAGUAGGCGGUAGGAUUUUACCUCAUCCGUGAGGGUCUGAAGCUGAAUAAACCCUUUCUUAUUUCCCAUUUGGUUUAAUCAUCCGGCCAGAAUACCUUAUCAAUUGAUCUGCCGAAAAUAACUCCACCACUUCAUAAAUGGGCUAGGGCCAGGUAACACUUUUUUCUCCCGUUUUAUUAUUUUGUUUCUAGUUCCGUCUAUAUUUAAAAAUAUUGUAAAUACAUAUAUCUUGAAAUAUUCUUCAUCAAUUAUUAAUAACAUUCACCGUGCUUGGAAAAAUGGUCAUGAAAUGUAAUUAUUUGUUCGCACAAUUUGUGAAAUUCUUCAUAUCAUUCAAAAGAAUAUUUGUAUCAUUUUCAAAAUGUUCACAUGUUUCAAAAAAUGUGUUAUUUUUUUAAAAGUGUUUAUUAAAAAUAUAAAAAAAUGUCAGUGUAAUAUGUAAAAAAAAUAUACAAUUCAAAAAAAUGCUGGCUCUUUAAAAAUGUUCAAACAUUUGAAUUUUAUGUUAGUAGUAUUUUUACUAUUGAAAUAAAAAAAAUUGACAAUUGUUUUAAAAUUUUAUAACAUAUAAAAUGUUUGGAAAAUUUCCAAAUAUGUUCAUAAACACUUACAAAAUAUUUUGCACUUUUAAGAAUAUGUUGAUGUCUUAAUUUUGUUGAAAACUAUCUAUGAAAUUUACAAAAAUGUUCCUAAUAGAAAUGCUAUUACAAAACUUUAUGAAUAGGAAAUGUGUAUAAAAUUUAGAAAAUGUUCCUAAUAGAAAUGUUUUCACAACUUCUUGAAACUUCAUAAGUUGGUUCCUAUUUUUUUUCCAAAAAUUUGAGCUCCAUGGAGCUCGGGAUCCAAAAAUCCACUCUCUACCAACUAUAUGCAUGUGUCUUGUAGCAAGCCAUGAGCCGAGGGUUGCUACAUGAUUAAUUGCUGACUGGGUAGCUCACGAGUGUUUGACAUCUCUCUCUCUCUCUACAUUGGGUAUCCUUUCACACUUGAAUUUUAAGAUGCACGGAAUGUGCUUUCCUUGUUGUUGCCUCGUCAUUACAACGUGGAAUCAAAGCAAAACUGAUAUUACUAAAAAUAACUAUACUAAACUAAAAACAAAGAAAACUUUUUUGCAUGAUUCAAAUGAAAAAUCUUUCUCAACGAUUCCUAUUCUACUAACAAGAGUAGACAUGCAAAAUGUAUUUGUUACUGAAGAGAAAACCGUUCCAUCUAUGUAUGUUCUUAACAUGCCCAUUGGACUGCAUGGCGAAAGUGAAGGAGCGCGCCUAGCUGGCGGAGCAGAUACACUCAUCUGUGAACUCCGAUCUAAGUAUGACAUAUACUCUGUAGCGAGUCCACGGUGCAUGUGGGUUAGAAUGCUGCUUAGCAAAUGUAGACUUAAUUUGCAGGCAAGCCAAGAUGAAAUCUUGUAGGCCCAUGUGAAUUCCAUCAUAAUCAUUAUCAGUUCAACUCUGAUUCGAAUCCUAAUAAAAAAUUGGGUCAGCGGUCCUAGAUGGAUAUGUCCAUCGCUAAACAUCGCAGUAGUUGAUAGAGUCGAUAUGCCCUGUAGCUAGAGGACGCCGACACCCUCACUUCCUCUACAUGCACUAAACAAACCCUAGCUUAUCCAACUCAAUUUGCUUUAUGGUUUGUGUGCAAAAGAAGAAGCGUUAAAACCAAACACCAUGCUCUUGAACCUGGGAAACCAAUAGUCAAUUUACCUAUUGAUAUUAAAUCUAUAUAUACCAUGCUUGAUCUGUCUAGCUGUAAACAUAUUUUAAAUUACAAUGUUUGGUGCUUCAUAGCCUGUUAUGAAACUAUUGUUCACCCAGCCAAUCUAACAAAAAGUAUGUGAAUGAUAAUAACACAAUAACGAGUAGAGAGAGAGAGAGAGAGAUUAAAGUGUAUUUUUCAUGAUGUCCAACAUAGGUCCACGAUCAGUACACCUAGGAGGAGACAAUCAAAAUAUGGACAGAAAAUAAAUAUUUAAUAUGUAAAUGGUAGGUGACAAAUCUAGCCACACAAUUGUGCAAACAACCCAUCGGCUAGUUUUAUUGAAUAUUAAAAUAACAUAUUUCAUUUCUAAAACAUACAAAAUUUAUGAUCUCAUCAGCACAUAAUUUUUUUGAGAACCAUAAGGUUGGGAUUUAUCCACCCAAAAUAGGGGUGAUAACGAAACUAUUGUGUUGCUGCUGCUGCUGGUGUGCAAUUAAUCUUGCAUGGACAGUUGAUGAAGCAUUCUCCGAGAUUUGCCCAGCACAAGUUAUCUAUUUUACAGCAGAAUUCUCGUCCGGGGAGUUGGUGCCCAUCUUUAUAACAAGGGGGUCUCGUUACAUGGCUUACUUUCCUCAUCAUGUUGCUCCGCUUGUCAUUUAUGAUUUCACCUAAUUAACAUAAAAUAAAGAAUACACUUAUCAUCUCAUCAUAUAAACAAUAAAAGUCCACAAUCUCAAUCGCCCCAUAAAAAUUGAGUUGUUAAUUACCAUAUGUGCCUCCAAGACAAGUCAAACACACCACAAGAAGAAAAGAAAGUAGCACAAGUCCUUGCACAUUGUUCCUCAUGUACUUGGUCAUCAUCGCCGGGGAACAGAGGCUAUUAAUGGGUGGUACUCUUGUAUGUGGAGUUGAUGAGUGUAUGACCGUGAAAUGCUUGCUCCAUGAAUGGUUCAUAUAUAUAUAGUGAAAGCUUCUCCACGUUGAUGUGUGAAGUUGAAGAAAAUAUUAAUGCUUGGAGUUAUGGCUUGUCGGAAUGUCCAGUUUUAGUUUCACUUCUAAAGAUUCAUGGUUCCUUCUAAAGUUUUUUUUUCAAAUUGAUGCUUUGUCAUAUCGUGUAAGUUACUUUAAUGCCCCAUCUAGAAUUGAUCGCUUAUUGUUUCCGAGGGGUAGAAUUGACCUAUUAUAAUGGGUAGUAAAAAACCGGUGCAUGUUAAUAUUAUAUUUAAGGCAUUGAUAAUAAUUGGCAUAGUAUCAAUAAUUCCUAUAUAUAUGAUGCCUUAUCUAUAUAAUUAUUAAUUUUUCUCUUGGUAUAAGAGAACAAAAUUUAAAAUUCACCAAGACUCGUCCACUUAUCAUUGGACUUGCUUUUUUUAAUGUAUAUAAGAAACUGUUCUUAAGUAUAUGAACAAUUUACAUGUACAUUUUUUUUACUUUUUUGCAUGAACAUAGAUUAAUUAUGGGAUGGCCAUUUUUUAAAUAUAAGUUGACGAUAUAUUGUCAUAUACAUGAACAUUUUAUAUCGAGGUACUUGAGCAAUUUUUUUCAUUUUUCUAUACACAAAUAUUUCUCCAAUAUUAAGUCGAUUUUGAUUUUGUAAGUAGAUUAGAUUCCCUGAAACUGUCUCUAUUAGAAUAGUAAAAAUUUCGCGUUGGCCCGGCUAGGGCAAAUUUCGUUAGGCGGAGCUUCCCAAUUCUCAGGACUCCCUAUACGCUCCUCCUUGCGGCUAACAACCUCCCCUUCGCACAACGCGCGCCUGACUGGCACGACCCAUUGACGAUAGGACUGGACAUCAACGAGCGGGAGAGUAGGCACUGACCCGGCCCACUUUAGCAUCAUUUUUUUAUUUUUAAAACAUUUCUUUGGAAAAUGAACAAGCAUUGAUUAAUGUGACAUAUUUUAAAAACUUUUGAACAUUUUCGAAAAUUUAAAAUAUCUUAAAACACCAAUUAUUUUUGGAAUUUCGUAUAUUUUUCUAAAAAAUGAACACUUUUGAAAAUUUUGAACAUUAUUUGCAAACUAUGACCCUUUCUUGGAAAACCAACAAUUAAUGAAAAACGUGAUAGUUUUAUAAUUUGUACAACAUUUUUAGAAAUUAUGAAUUUUUAGAAAAACAAUUUUUGAAAUUCCAAACAGAACAUGAGAAUGGGAACAUUUUUUUGAAAACUAGAACAUUUUGAAAAUUUCAAUUAUUUUUGAAAUGUCCGAACAUUUUCAAAAAGGAGACUUUUUGAAAAAGAAAAUAAGAAAAAUAAACAAGAUAAAACAAAGAUAAAAAAGAAUCCAAAGAAAACCGGUAAAAGAAAUAGAAGGAAAAAAGAACAAACAAAAAUACGAGUAAAAAUCAUAUCAGAACCUUUUGGAAGGUUCCCAAAAUUGGUAAAAGCCCGGAAGGAAUAUUCUGAAAGUUCGUAAAACUUGAGCGGCGCGGCCAAAAUGGCUGGGCCGUUCCCGAGCGCUAGAGUUAGUUCUGUGUGCAAGCGCCCACAAUUUGACGUUAAAUGCUCAAAUAGGGUUUCCGCCAUUUCUCUUGUUUCUUGUUGCCUCAUAUGAGUUUGUUGUUGUUUGGUUCAUAUCUGGGUUGAAGCCCCAAUCACACCCCACCCACCGUUUUGUGCCCUUACGCGAGUGGCCUUCCUAGAGAUGUCAUGACGUCAGUGUCGACGCCUUCCCUCUCCCCCGUACGAGCCCCUUACAAUUGACGCUCUUGGCUGCAAUCGCGUUUCCCUUCGACCUCACAGCGUUCCUGCAAAUUGUCCAAGUGUUUUGGGGUAUAUACUCCUUGGAGCUUUCUGGCAUCAAGAUUAGUUAGACCUCACCUCAUCUGGAUUAACUUUGCUGAGAAGACUUUGGAUAUAGUGAGACCUCUGGUUUGAAAUUGAUAAGUUGCCACCAAGUCAAGCUGUCCAAGUUUGAUCUAUGCACAUCAACUCAUUACUUACUCAACUUAUUUCCUUACAUAUCAAUGUAUGACCCAGCUUUAGCAUCGAGAUGCCAAAAAGGCAAAGAGGGACUAAACGACCCAAGGUGGUAGCCCUAGUCCUCCUCCUCCAUGGACUCCUCCGAGUCAUUGUCACUGUCCUCCUAGUGCUCCUCAUGAACGUCCUCAUCCUCGCCAUCGGCACCAUGGAAACCAGACGUAGUAGCGUUGGAGUCAUCGGAGUCUGUCCACUUGUUGCGUCUGCCCAAUCCACCUAUCCUCUGAGGUCAUCUUCUUCUCAGAGCCACUCUGCACCUCAAUCUCAAGGUUCCUAUAAUCAUGGUGACCUGGCACUGCCGGGCAAUCUUCUCAGCCACAUGUGCCUUGUACAUAUUCUUCUGAGUAUCCACCUGAAUGCAGAAGAGCUUCCUCAUCUUCUUCUUGAGUUUGAUGUCCCAAGUAGGCCGAUCCGAUGGUGGUACAUAGUCAGGCUCCUUAGAUCCAUCAGACUUUGCUCCUGGAAUAUUGAUCUCUGGUGCAUCUGGCACAACUCCCCAGUUCUCCUUUUGCCUGAGCUUCAUCACAUCAUGAGUGGCAAGCUUGCCAGUCUCUAGGCGCUCAUCUAGAACCUGAGUCGCCCAAGUAGUAGUGAUGAGCUUGAAGAGAUAGGACCCAUAGAUGGGGACCUUCCUAUCAUACAUAGCAACAGUGAGCUCAUACCACAUCACAUGUCAAACGCCUAGCAUGCUAGUCUUGUUCUUUGCUACUUGUGAGUUGCGUUGGGAUUUCCCCGAAGAGGAGAGGAUGAUGCAGUAUAGUAGAGAUAAUUAUUUCCCUCAGUUAAGAACAUAGAUUAUCAAUCCAGUAGGACAACCACAUAAAACCUCGUGAACAACACAUACGCACAAAAGAGCAAAUACUUGCACCCAACACAAACAAGGGGUUGUCAAUCCCUUGGCGGUUAAUUGCAAGAAUCAAGUCUGAUAAUGAUAGAUAGCUAAACAAAAACAUAAAAUAAAAAUAAAGGUAAAUAAAUUGCAACAAUGUAUUUUUGGAUUUUAAUAUAUGAUAAAAAUAGACCCCAAUCCCUAAAUAUGUUGCGACUAGAUUAGUAAAUAGACAUAGAACCUUAGAGCUAUUGCUCAAUCCAUCAAUCAUUGUAACGCCUAUACACAAGCAAUAUACAUGAGCAGGGGUAGGAUUUUACCAUGCGUGAGGGUCUGAAACUAGAUAAACCCCUUCUUACUUCCCAUUUGGUUUAAUCGUCUGGCCAGAAUACCUUAUCAAGUGAUCUGCCAAAAAUAACACCACCACCUCAUAAAUGGGCUAGGGUCAGGUAAGACAUUUUUUCUCCCUUUUUGUUAUUUUGUUUCUACUUCCGUCUAUUUUGAAAAAUAUUUUAAAUACAUAUAUUUUGGAAUAUUCUUCAUCAAUUAUUAAUAACAUUCACCAUGCUUGGAAAAAUGGUCAUGAAAUGUAAUUAUUUGUUUUCACAAUUUGAUAAAUUCUUCGUAUCAUUCAAAAGAAUAUUUGUAUCAUUCUCAAAAUGUUCGCAUGUUUGAAAAAAUGUUCGCAUGUCAGUGUAAUUUGUAAAAAAAAUACCAUUCCAAAAAACCGUUUCCACUUUAAAAAUGUUCAAACAUUUGAAUUUUAUGUUAGUGGUAUUUUUAAUUUUGAAAUCGAAAAAAUUGACAAUUUUUAUAAAAUUUUAUAACAUAUAAAAAUGUUUGUAAAAUUUCCAAAUAUGUUCAUAAACACUUACAAAAUAUUUUUCACUUUUACGAAUAUGUUGAUGUCUUAAUUUUUUGAAAACUAUCUGUGAAAUUUACAAAAAUGUUCCUAAUAGAAAUGAUAUUACAAAAAAUAUGAAUAUCAAAUGUGUAUAAAAUUUACAAAAUGUUCCUAAUAGAAAUGUUUUCACAACUUUUUGAAACUUCAGAAGUUGGUUUAUAUUUUUUUUUCAAAAUUUUGAGCUCCAUGGAGCUCGGGAUCCAAAAAUCCACUCUCUACCAACUAUAUGCAUGUGUCUUGUAGCAAGCCCCGAGCCGAGGGUUGCUACAUGAUCAAUUGCUGACUGGUAGCUCACGAGUGUUUGACAUCUCUCUCUACAUUGGGUAUCCUUUCACACUUGAAUUUUAAUAUGCACGGAAUGUGCUUUCCUUGUUGUUGCCUCAGCAUUACAGCAUAGAAUCAAAGCAAAACUGAUAUUACUGCCCUUAAAAAAUGUCUCGCUAUCUAUGUUCUUAACAUGCUCAUUGGACUGCAUGGCGAAAGUGAAGGUGUGCGCCUAGCUGGUGGUGGAGCAGACACACUCAUCUGUGACCUCCAAUCUAUGUAUGACAUUUACUCUGUAGCCAGUCCAUGGUGCAUGUUGGUUGGAACGCUGCUUAGCAAAUGUAGACUUAAUUUGCAGGCAAGCCAUGAUGAAAUCUGUAGGCCCAUGUGAAUUCCAUCAUAAUCAUGGUCAGCAACUCUGAUUUGAAUCUUAAUAAAAAAGUUGGAUCAGCGGUCCUGGAUGGAUAUGUCCAUUGCUAGACAUCACAGCAGUUGAUAGAGUCGAUAUGACCUGUAGCUAGAGGACGCCGACACCCCUCACUUCCUCUACAUGCACUAAACAAACCCUAGCUUAUCCAACUCAAUUUGCUUUAUGGUUUGUGUGCAAAAGAAGAAGUGUUAAAACCGAACACCAUGCUCUUGAACCUGAGAAACCAAUAGUCAAUUUACCUAUGGAUAUUAAAUCUAUAUAUACCAUGCUUGAUCUGUCUUGCUAAUAAUAGUUACUAAACAUAUUUUAAAUUACAAUGUUUGGUGCUUCAUAGCCUGUUAUGAAACUAUUGUUCACCCAUCCAAUGCAACAAAAACUAUGUGAAUGAUAAUAACGCAAUAACGAGUAGAGAGAGAGAGAGAGAUUAAAGUCCAUUUUCCCGAUGUCCAACAUAGGUCCACGAUCAUUACACCUAGGAGGAGACAAUCAAAAUAUGGACAUAAAAUAAAUAUUUACUAUGUAAAUGGUAGGUGACAAAUCUAGCCACAAAAUUGUGCAAACAACCCAUUGGCUAGUUUUAUUGAAUAUUAAAAUAACAUAGUUGAUUUCUAAAACAUACAAAAUUUAUGAUCUCAUCAGCACAUAAUUAUUUUGAGAACCAUAAGAUUGGGAUUUAUCCAACCAAAAUAGGGGUGAUAACGAAACUAUUGUGUUGCUACUGCUGCUGGUGUGCAAUUAAUCUUGCAGGGACAGUUGAUGAAGCAUUCUCCGAGAUUUGGCCAGCAAAAGUUAUCUAUUUUACAGCAGAAUUCCCUUCCUGGGAGCUGAUGCCCAUCUUUAUAACAAGGGGGUCUCGUUACAUGGCUUACUUUCCUCAUCAUGUUGCUC
rnacentral:lncRNA from 1 species